GAUUCUGGCUCAGGAUGAACGCUGGCGGCGUGCUUAACACAUGCAAGUCGAACGGAGCCUAUCGAGUGCUUGCACUUGAGAAGCUUAGUGGCGGACGGGUGAGUAACGCGUGGGUAACCUGCCGUAUGCAGGGGGGACAACAGCUGGAAACGGCUGCUAAUACCGCAUAAGCGCACGUGAAGGCAUCUUCAAGUGUGAAAAGAUUUAUCGGCAUACGAUGGACCCGCGUCUGAUUAGGCAGUUGGCAGGGUAACGGCCUACCAAACCGACGAUCAGUAGCCGGCCUGAGAGGGUGAACGGCCACAUUGGGACUGAGACACGGCCCAAACUCCUACGGGAGGCAGCAGGUGGGGAAUAUUGCACAAUGGGGGAAACCCUGAUGCAAGCGACGCCGCGUGAGUGAAGAAGUAUUUCGGUAUGUAAAGCUCUAUCAGCAGGGAAGAAAAUGACGGUACCUGACUAAGAAGCCCCGGCUAACUACGUGCCAGCAGCGGC
rnacentral:rRNA from 1 species